rnacentral:misc_RNA from 1 species
CGCACAUUGCGCCCCUUGGUAUUCCGGGGGGCAUGCCCGUUCGAGCGUCAUUUCACCAUCAAGCCUCGCUUGGUAUUGGGCCACGGGGGCGACCCGGACCCCAAAAUCGUCGGCUGGACAGCUCUGAUCUCCGCGUCGUGAAUCAAUUCGCGGGUGAGAGGGGACGUCCAUCGCCGUCAAAUAUACAUUCAGGUUGACCUCGGAUCGGGUAGGGAUACCCGCUGAACUUAA